UACGUAGGGGGCAAGCGUUAUCCGGAUUUACUGGGUGUAAAGGGAGCGUAGACGGCGGUGCAAGCCAGAUGUGAAAGCCCGGGGCUCAACCUUGGGACUGCUUUUGAAACUGAGUAGCUAGAGUGCAGGAGAGGUAAGCGGAAUUCCUAGUGUAGCGGUGAAAUGCGUAGAUAUUAGGAAGAACACCAGUGGCGAAGGCGGAUGACUGGACGACAACUGACGGUGAGGCGCGAAAGCGUGGGGAGCAAACAGG
rnacentral:rRNA from 1 species